ACAACUUAAUCAAUCUGUGAUUGAUUCCUGGCAUUUCUCAUCAUCAUCUGUAGUCACUUUUACCUGGUGAAGCAGGGUCCCAGGGUCCACUGUUACCAUAAAAACACCCACAGAAGGAUUUGUGGCACAUAACAGGCUUUCGUCUUGCUGAGACAAGAAAAGAAAUAACCACCAAUUCCUGACCUAGAUCAGUCAGCACACAGUUUAUUUUGCCUUGGGAGACAUCAUGGAGGAGACCAGCAUGGAGACCAGCUGAGAUACUGCAGGAGCAUAUGAAGAGCCAGUUGGAAUGACUUUUAAUCCCUUCUCUCAUUUAGUCCUGAGGUUAAAAGGUGUUGUUCAUCCCAAGGGAGCUCUGGAGAG